UGGGGAAUAUUGCACAAUGGGGGAAACCCUGAUGCAGCGACGCCGCGUGAGCGAAGAAGGUUUUCGAAUCGUAAAGCUCUGUCCUAUGGGAAGAUAAUGACGGUACCAUAGGAGGAAGCCCCGGCUAACUACGUGCCAGCAGCCGCGGUAAUACGUAUGGGGCGAGCGUUGUCCGGAAUUAUUGGGCGUAAAGGGUACGUAGGCGGUCUAUUAAGUCAGGUGUGAAAGCGUGAGGCUUAACCUCAUUAAGCACUUGAAACUGAUAGACUUGAGUGAAGGAGAGGAAAGUGGAAUUCCUAGUGUAGCGGUGAAAUGCGUAGAUAUUAGGAGGAAUACCGGUGGCGAAGGCGACUUUCUGGACUUUUACUGACGCUCAGGUACGAAAGCGUGGGGAGCAAACAGG
rnacentral:rRNA from 1 species